rnacentral:rRNA from 1 species
UACGAAGGGGGCUAGCGUUGCUCGGAAUCACUGGGCGUAAAGGGUGCGUAGGCGGAUCUUUAAGUCAGGGGGUGAAAUCCUGGAGCUCAACUCCAGAACUGCCUUUGAUACUGAGGAUCUCGAGUUCGGGAGAGGUGAGUGGAACUGCGAGUGUAGAGGUGAAAUUCGUAGAUAUUCGCAAGAACACCAGUGGCGAAGGCGGCUCACUGGCCCGAUACUGACGCUGAGGCACGAAAGCGUGGGGAGCAAACAGG